rnacentral:misc_RNA from 1 species
AGACAAUAUACCUUAAUAUUAUUGAUCAUUCUUUGACUCAAAGAAUCAUCCCAUCUUAAUUGAAAAAGGAAAUAUUUUUUUAGUAAUAAAUCUAGUUCUGCUUCCUUGAUCUUCUUAGAUUCUUUUUUAUUUCUACGUUUUUUAAUGUCUGAUCCCGCGUAAUUAUCUUCAACAUCUUUUUUUUCGUUUUGUUUUCCUAGAUCAUAUCCAAGAUAUUUUGGAUAUUGUUGUUUGUUUUUUUCUUGGUUAGAAUUUUCUAAAUCAAU